AGUGAACGCUGGCGGUAGGCCUAACACAUGCAAGUCGAACGGCAGCACAGUAAGUGCUUGCUCUUACGGGUGGCGAGUGGCGGACGGGUCACGUAUACAUCGGAAUCUACUUUUUAGUGGGGGCUAACGCAGGGAAACUUACGCUAAUACCGCAUACGACCUACGGGGGAAAGCAGGGGAUCUUCGGACCUUGCGCGAUUGUAUGAGCCGAUGUCGGAUUAGCUAGUUGGCGGGGUAAAGGCCCACCAAGGCGACGAUCCGUAGCUGGUCUGAGAGGAUGGUCAGCCACACUGGAAGUGAGACACGGUCCAGACUCCUACGGGAGGCAGCAGUGGGGAAUAUUGGACAAUGGGGGCGAGGCUGAUCCAGCCAUACCGCGUGGGUGAAGAAGGCCUUCGGGUUGGAAAGCCCUUUUGUUUGGAAAGAAAAGCAGCAGGUUAAUACCCCGCUGUUCUGACGGUACCCAAAGAAUAAGCACCGGCUAACUUCGUG
rnacentral:rRNA from 1 species